rnacentral:rRNA from 1 species
AGAGUUUGAUCCUGGCUCAGGAUGAACGCUAGCUACAGGCUUAACACAUGCAAGUCGUGGGGCAGCGGAUACUUAGCUUGCUAAGUAUGCCGGCGACCGGCGCACGGGUGAGUAACGCGUACCGAACCUGCCCAUCACACAGGGAUAGGCUUGCGAAAGCAAGAUUAAUACCUGAUGGUCUCAGUUGUAUGCAUGUAUGAUUGAGUAAAGCCUUCGGGCGGUGAUGGAUGGCGGUGCGUCCCAUUAGGAAGUUGGCGGGGUAACGGCCCACCAAUCCUUCGAUGGGUAGGGGUUCUGAGAGGAAGGUCCCCCACAUUGGAACUGAGACACGGUCCAAACUCCUACGGGAGGCAGCAGUGAGGAAUAUUGGUCAAUGGGCGGAAGCCUGAACCAGCCAAGUAGCGUGCAGGAUGACGGCCCUAUGGGUUGUAAACUGCUUUUGUAUGGGGAUAAAGUCAGUCACGUGUGAUUGUUUGCAGGUACCAUACGAAUAAGGACCGGCUAAUUCCGUGCCAGCAGCCGCGGUAAUACGGAAGGUCCAGGCGUUAUCCGGAUUUAUUGGGUUUAAAGGGAGCGUAGGCUGGAUAUUAAGUGUGUUGUGAAAUGUAGACGCUCAACGUCUGACUUGCAGCGCAUACUGGUUUCCUUGAGUACGCACAACGUUGGCGGAAUUCGUCGUGUAGCGGUGAAAUGCUUAGAUAUGACGAAGAACUCCGAUUGCGAAGGCAGCUGACGGGAGCGCAACUGACGCUUAAGCUCGAAGGUGCGGGUAUCAAACAGGAUUAGAUACCCUGGUAGUCCGCACAGUAAACGAUGGAUGCCCGCUGUUGGUACCUGGUAUCAGCGGCUAAGCGAAAGCAUUAAGCAUCCCACCUGGGGAGUACGCCGGCAACGGUGAAACUCAAAGGAAUUGACGGGGGCCCG